AGGUAUUCCUGCUAAUGCUAGGCUGCCAA
rnacentral:piRNA from 1 species